ACGAAUGAACUACAAAACUGACACGGAACAUUGUGCUCAAAUUUAUAGAAAUGUCAUCGAAAAGCAUAAGAAAAAUUAGUUGGAAAAUUCGAGUAAAAAGGAAAGGAUGGAAAAGCUGCAUCAGAGAACUUAAAAACAGAAGAGUUAAAAUCCAAUUCAAAUCCCUGAUGAUGACUAUCGAAGAUAGUCGAAAUAUCGGACAAAUAAAUUAAUAUAUAAAAAAACAAAUUCGUCUGUUUUUUUAAAUUCUGACCUCGAGCCAAACGAAAAACCAGAAGAAAA